rnacentral:tRNA from 1 species
AGAAAUAUAGUUAAAGUUUAUAAUAUCUAUCUUGCAGAUAGGAGUUACAAAAGAGUUAUUUUUA